GACAGAGGGGGCGAGCAUUAUCUUUGAUAACUGGGCAUAAAGGAUGCGUAGGUGGAUAUUAAUAAAACAGCUUGAUGGAAAUGUUUACGUAUUGACGUAAAUCUUAUCUUGCAUUGUUUAUCUAGAGAUAUAAAUAAGUUUGUGGAAGGCGAUAUGGAAUAGGGCAUUUGUCUUUUAAUAUAUUGAGUAAUAUCAAAAAGCGAAAGC
rnacentral:rRNA from 1 species